GGCGGACGGGUGAGUAACGCGUGGGUAACCUACCCUGUACAGGGGGAUAACAGUCAGAAAUGACUGCUAAUACCGCAUAAGACCACAGCACCGCAUGGUGCAGGGGUAAAAACUACCGGUGGUACAGGAUGGACCCGCGUCUGAUUAGCUGGUUGGUGAGGUAACGGCUCACCAAGGCGACGAUCAGUAGCCGGCUUGAGAGAGUGAACGGCCACAUUGGGACUGAGACACGGCCCAAACUCCUACGGGAGGCAGCAUG
rnacentral:rRNA from 1 species